ACAGACGAGAUCAUUCAGAAGUAUGCUUUGAAAGGAAGGGUGCCAUCGGCCUUCAUUCUAUAUAAGUAUUCCUUGUUAAUGAAAAUUUAAUUCAUUUAACACUGAUUUGGUGUUUAAUUAUGUAUUUUCCUAUGACAAUGUUUGACUACUACUUUAUGUUUGUGCAAGUAGCAAUGAAACCAUAGCCAAUCUAAAAGAUGCUGGUACCUUAAUAACAAAUCAGACGAAGAGGGACAUUGGUGAGCAAUGGAAAAACUUGUCGAACGAACACAGGCAAAAGUACAAAGAUUUGGCUUAGUUGGCCAAAGAGGAACUCACCAAGCAAAAAGCUGUACUUCCGCCAAAACCCAGAAAAAAAAAAAUACAGAACCGUAUUUCCUUAAAGUCCAUCGUUCGAAUAGUACAAAAGUUAAGCCCAGAUCAACGUCGUGCUGUUCAGCUUAUUGGGUUGGGUGGAAUAUUAGAAUUGAGGUGUACGGCUCUUAACCAUCUGCUAUGUAAUUGGUUGGUGCAUAAAUUUGAUCCUGUUUCUCGUUCACUUACUGUUCAUGGGCAGACAUUCCUUCUCACUGAUUCCCAUGUUCAUGAGUGUUUGGGCAUUAAUGCACAAGGCAACCUUAUUGAGUUGGAGGGAAAUACGUCGGUAGAAUUUUCAGAAAUUUAUAAAAACCUUGGAAUGACGAAUGGGGUAGUCCAACUGAAAGAGUUGAGA